GAAGCCUCAGGAUUUUUUAAAGGCUUCUAGAACAUCCAUCUACCAAAGAAAUGUGUACCAGCACCUUCCCCUCCUCCUUUAUUUUAGGAAACCCAGAACAAGAUCCUAAGGAGCUACUUUGGAUUUAGUCACCUAGAACUCAAGAUCCAAAGCACUAGAGGUCACUGUACUGAAGAAUUGGAAACCAAAUACGAGGAGCUGCAGCAGGGUAACAGUUGGCCACCCAUAAACAAGAAAGACAGCCACACUCUCUGCUCAUACCCAACCAACCCACGCUAGGCCUGGGCAUACCUUGGGUGUUCUGGAAGUAGUGUCUCCAGAGGGGUCGAAUCUUGUCCUGGCCACCCACAUCCCACACUGUGAAGCUGAUGUUCUUAUACUCCACUGUCUCCACAUUGAACCCUUUGGAAAAAAAACAGGCAAUGGCCACUUGGCCUCAAACACUAGCCCCGCAAACACCACCACAAUGAGUUUGGUUCUGCUUUCCCCCAGUGGUGGCCAUGACACUAACAAUGGAACAAAAGCUAAGGCUUCCUCAGACCUGAUAAUCGUUAACCUAGCAGCCUGAAGGCCAAAAUGAAAACCUAAGAGAAGUCGAAGAGGAUGAGGAAGGUUGGUUGAGAGGUUCACAGUUGCCUAGGUAAUGUGGGCCAACUUUCCUGACUUUUCCACUCAGUCUUUGGUGCUCCCUCCUACAAAAUGACUCAGCCCUACUCCAGCACUUUGGCCACCAGAGUCGGCCUCAGCUAAGAUGUGGGGCCUGAGAGGCAGAGUAAAGAAAGGGAAGUAAGCUGGCAUCCUGGAGCCCCAAAGGCAGAGCCAGCUGACAAUGCUGACUGGAGCCCCCAUCUACAUGGCAAAUGUUCUCCCUCCCUUCAGCAAACUGUAACCAAGAUUGGCCACCAAAGAUCUAAACCCAAGUAAAUCCAAGCCUUUGGCAGGAACAUCAAAGCCUUUUACCUGCUUUCCAAACAACACAGAGAACAAGCCAACUCCAUGCCUGAGGGCAACUGUUGAGUGCCAGGCCAUGGAAGUUCCCGCAUCAGAGCCAGGUUAGGUGGGCAAACAGCAGCCUCAGCACCUGAUAGUAAGCUAAACAACACCGCCCUCUUUUCGGAACCCCACAAAUUGUAUGGACUUGCCUGGGGAGAAGAGGCCAGGUGGGGGAACCAGGAAUAGGUCCCUGCCCUGCCUCAGCUGCCAGCAUGAAAGCCCACAUCCAAGCUGUGCUCUUACCAAUGGUAGGGAUGGUGGUGACGAUCUCCCCCAGUUUCAGCUUGUAUAGGAUGGUGGUCUUUCCUGCGGCAUCCAGGCCCACCAUCAGGAUGCGCAUCUCCUUCUUCCCAAUCAGGCUCUUGAGAAGGUUUCCAAAGAUAUUGCCCAUGAUCACAGCAGCUGCUUUCUGGGGACAGUGGGGCCCAAGUAGGGGCAGUGGCAGUCUGGUUUUGGCCUGGUCCCUGGUAUGGAAGACUUGAUCCUAGACAAAGGAAAUGUAAAAUCGUACCAUCAUUUGCUUGUCAGGACUUCCACGUAAAUAGAAUUUCCCAAGGUCAUGGCUAGAGUUCAUUCAUGACAAACCGAGAGCCUGAGGGGACUAUAAAUACCAAGGCCCACUCAGAUACAUACUGAGUCUUUGGGAACAGAGACAAAGCAGUAAACACUAAGGAUCCCUGCUCUGCCAGUAAUCUAACUGUGUGACUCUGGGCAAGUUACUUCACUUUUCCAUAUCUGCACCUGUAAAUGGAAGGGGGAUUGAACUAGAUGAUUUCUGAAGUCCCUUCAGUACUGACAUUCUACCCUAUACCCCAAGGCAUUGCAAGAUCAUUAAUGCCCCUCCUUCCCCUAACCUUACUUACCCUGAGACUUCUGGCAAGGGUGGGAGAGGAGGGAGUGGAAUGAGGAGUGGCUCUCUGUGACUCCUGACAAGGUUCAGGCUUGCCAGUUUCCCAAGGUUUAUGCUCUCUCCUCUAAUCAAGAGACUCUGCCUCUUCCUUUCCUAUAUUUUUGCAACUCCAUCUUUCUUUCACACCAAAAUAAA